AGCAGUUAGAGCCCAAUGUAGCCUUGUUGAGUUGUGGCUGUAGGGACAGUUUUGUUUACAUUAACCUUGUGUAUGUCGCAUAGAUCCAUCGUUAUUGUAUUGUCUACGUAACGUCUGUAGCCAUUGCGUAAGAAUAGUUGAAGAGGAAUUUGAUCAACAGCCAUGUACAGGUCGGCGAUACCUCUUGCGGACUUCUAUAGGAAGAUGGGGAAAAGAACUCAAAAGCACCACUUCACAUCUGCACAGCCAGAGACUGGGUCCGUCAGGGAGAAGACACCCGAGAAGCAGACGACAUUUGACAGAAGCAGACGACACAUGCAGACAGGAAGUUUCUCGAGCGAGGAGAACGGAUAACCUAAUCCAAAUAAUCAAAAGAAACUCGAAUGCAUAAUCUACUAUUUCAAUACGUAAACCGACUCCUCUUCAGGAAAAUGAAUAUCUGUUUCAUUGCUAUCGGCUGUCAAACCAUCAUGACAGAUGGGAACCACAAGCGUUUGUUUCCCAAGCAUAUGAAUCUUCAGAGGUUCUUUUGCAGUAUAUUCCUCAGAGGCGAUCAAAACCACGAAUGCGACACGAAUGCGAAUGAUACUGUUAACGUUGAGAUGAUUCCAGACGAACAGAUUUGCAUCCAUACCCGCUGGCCUAUGCAUAAAUACAGGCCGGUUCAGUAGGACGUCUUUCUUAUUGCACUGUGACGAUCCCGGGCCAGUCAUCUGAUUGAAUGUAGCACGGAUAGUGCUGUGCAAACCCUUCUCCUGGAGAGAAACAACGUCUUCAUAUCCCCAGGAGGGAUGUUAGGAUGAAACAGGGACAAAUCGACAAAGAAGUGGACGAUACAGUGCUUCAAUUCACGUCUCAACACUUUUAAUAGCUGAGAGAUGUCCAUGUUUUAAGUGUGCUAUUGCAAUUACCAAAAACACGUAAUCGGUUACAACGGACAAGUAAUCCAAGAACUACAUAAUCAGAUUCCUAGUCUGUCUCAGAAACCCUCGAGAAUACAUUAAAUAGGAGUCCUACUCAAGUCUAGAAUGAUUUGACAAGUCCAGAUUUGAUCAUCCAAAAAGUAGGAUUGUUCUGGGUUCCAUUUGGAUUUGUUUUGUAGAUAAAGAAGUAUAUUCCUGGUAUCAGACUAUCCAGACUGUGGAUAUCACACCUGAUCUCAACACAGCGCACCACCACUUGGUAGGACUUAUCUUUACAAAUGGUGCCGACAUACACUACUGAAACUUUGAUCAAGCAACGGCUGACACACUAU